rnacentral:misc_RNA from 1 species
GCAAAACCAAUGCCUUCUGGUUCUUCUACCCCAUCUGCUUCAAAGUCAGCAAAGGGUAAAAGAAAAUCAAGGUGAUGAUGCAAAACCAUCUAAUGGUAUGCCUCAAAAGAAGGUGAAGACAGCAAAUGCAUAGUGACAUGUUGUUUGCUUUAAAUGAAUUCAUAAAUAAUUAGAUAGUCAAAUGGGUGUGCUUUAGGUGCAACACACAACAGAUGCUUAGGAUUAUUACCUCUGCCAUGAUCAGAUGAGAUAACCUAAAUGAUUAGAGUUUUUAUUGCUAAGGCUUUGCCUUUCCUAGGCACAAGUGAAGCAUAGGAACCUCUUUUGUAUUUUGAAUACAAGUAAUUUAAUUAGAAGUAACAAAAAAAAAAAAAA